AGCGAACGCUGGCGGCGUGCCUAACACAUGCCAGUCGAACGUGAAAGGGAGCAAUCCCAAGUAAAGUGGCGUACGGGUGAGUAACAUGUAGGUAAUCUACCCCAGAAUCUGGAAUAACCGGCCGAAAGGCUGGCUAAUACUGGAUAGAGCGACGGAAUCCGUAAUUGGGUUUUUCGGGAAAGGGAGCCUGUAAAAAGGCCUUCGUUCUGGGAUGAGCCUGCGUCCCAUCAGCUAGUUGGUGAGGUAAAAGCUUACCAAGGCAAUGACGGGUAGCUGGUCUGAGAGGACGAUCAGCCACACUGGAACUGAAACACGGCCCAGACUCCUACGGGAGGCAGCAGUGGGGAAUCUUGCGCAAUGGACGAAAGUCUGACGCAGCAACGCCGCGUGAGUGAAGAAGGCCUUCGGGCUGUAAAGCUCUGUCGAGUGGGACGAAAAUGCUUGGAGUUCACAGCUCCAGGAACUGACGGUACCACUAAAGGAAGCACCGGCUAACUCCGUG
rnacentral:rRNA from 1 species